UUUCCGUAGGUGAACCUGCGGAAGGAUCAUUGUCGAAACCUGCCCAGCAGAACGACCCGCGAACUUGUAUAAACAACCGGGGGCGGGGGGCGUUCUCGCCCCGUGCCCCCGAACGGCGGGGAGACACUCGUGCCUUCUUGCCGAACAACGAACCCCGGCGCGGUCUGCGCCAAGGAACUUCAACUAAUGAGUGCCUCCGGUCGCCUCGGAAACGGCGUGCGUGCCGGGGGCGAAUCUUGUGCAAAACCAUAAUGACUCUCGGCAACGGAUAUCUCGGCUCUCGCAUCGAUGAAGAACACAGC
rnacentral:misc_RNA from 1 species